GGGGGUAUAGCUCAGUGGUAGAGCGCCCGCUUUGCAUGCGGGAAGUCGAGGGUUCAAACCCCUCUUCCUCCA